rnacentral:misc_RNA from 1 species
GAACCCUUUGCUCCGGGACGAGGCGCGGACAGUGAGGAUCAAUGAGGCGUGGCACUUGUGUUCGAUUACUUGUGACGGUCAUGACUGGAGUUGUGACGGAUUCAAAGCGCGUGUUUUCAAGCUUCUCAGAAGGAUCGGAUGAGUUUCAGUGGAAGCAGAGGUACCUUCAGGAGCGGAGGGACACCGCGAUCGAAUUCCUCAGUGACUUGAAGAAGCGUGUCCCGAUCCAUGAUGCCAUUCGUCAGAGGGCUAUUAUCAACCGCAGCGCCACAAAAGAGGUUCACUGCGCCAAAGUGUUUGAAGAUAUCACCUCCAUUGGCGACAUUCCUGCAGACUUGGACGAUAGUCGUUCGGUUGUAGACGAGCUACUUGAUGACCUGCUGAUGGACGAGAACGCAGCCGACCGAUUGCAGCAUGUGGAUCUGGGUGACGUUCCUCUUUUGGAAAACGAGCUUCUAGGCGAUGACGCCGCGGGCGAGGAGACGAUUCGGCGGUGGCUGAAGCUAAAGCGUGACACUGCAGAUUAUCAGAGCUAUGCGUCGAUUCCUGAAGGGGAACGCUCCUCGUGGUCCGCAUGGUAUUUGCGUCACGUAAAGUGCAAAGACGCAAAUUGAGUUUCUUAUUCUGUCCCCACCGGAGAAACAGUCUCUGCUUUACUCACAGAAGGAUUUCAUAACGAAAUGACAACCAAAAAGUUUUGUUUCGACACUAGCGCUGUGGCCUUGUCGAAAGCAACGUGGCACUUCACACGAAAACGCCGUGCCGACGCAUUUGCCGACCUUUUCGAAGAGUAAAAUCAGAACUUGCCAAACAACAUGCUUUCAUUUACCUUGGCGCCGCUUAACAUCAACCUUCCACUCAUCAUUUUUCCCUUUUUUACGAUUCGCACGACUUUCUGUCGGAACAG